rnacentral:lncRNA from 1 species
GCCAAAGUAGAUGCUCACGCAUCUGGGAGCUCCUAUUGCAGGAGGAGGGCACUUUUAAUCUCACAUUAGUUGUGAAUCAAUGGAGACUUUGACUUAUAUGCAAUGGGAUCUUCUCUCCCUUCUCUGAAAGAGCAAAAUCAUGAUGCUCAAAAUGGCCAAAGCCCAUUGACCACAAUAAUCCACAAUGUCGAGCACCUCC